GUGGGGAAUAUUGGACAAUGGGCGAAAGCCUGAUCCAGCCAUGCCGCGUGUGUGAAGAAGGUCUUCGGAUUGUAAAGCACUUUAAGUUGGGAGGAAGGGCAGUAAGUUAAUACCUUGCUGUUUUGACGUUACCGACAGAAUAAGCACCGGCUAACUUCGUGCCAGCAGCCGCGGUAAUACGAAGGGUGCAAGCGUUAAUCGGAAUUACUGGGCGUAAAGCGCGCGUAGGUGGUUUUGUAAGUUGGAGGUGAAAUCCCCGGGCUCAACCUGGGAACUGCCUCCAAAACUGCAUGACUAGAGUACGGUAGAUGGUAGUGGAAUGUCCUGUGUAGCGGUGAAAUGCGGAGAUAUAGGAAGGAACACCAGUGGCGAAGGCGACUACCUGGACUGAUACUGACACUGAGGUGCGAAAGCGUGGGGAGCAAACAGGAUUAGAAACCCGGGUAGUCC
rnacentral:rRNA from 1 species